rnacentral:lncRNA from 1 species
GGAUGUUUUAAUAUCGUCAUAGAAACCACCAAACGAUUUUGCUUUCAACUGCCUAUUAUUAUUGGUUGAAUCCUGAGAGUAGUUUUGUGGGGAAAGGUUUGAGGAACCGCCACUUUUAGCCCCCACAAUCACCUUCAAUAGUGAGGGACUCAACGAAGGUUCCAUGACAUUUUGUAGUGGUUUUAGAUAAGACACAAUGGAUUGAGAUGAUGUUUGUCAUUGAGUGAAUGAUUUUUCUAACUGGAGAGAGGAUGUGUUAAAUGAGUUUGUUAUUG